rnacentral:rRNA from 1 species
UACGUAGGUGGCAAGCGUUGUCCGGAUUUAUUGGGUUUAAAGGGUGCGUAGGCGGUUUCAAAAGUCUGUUGUUAAAGCCCACAGCUCAACUGUGGAUCGGCAAUGGAAACUGUGAGACUAGAGAGUGGUAGGGGUAGAGGGAAUUCCUAGUGUAGCGGUGAAAUGCGUAGAUAUUAGGAAGAACACCAGUGGCGAAGGCGCUCUACUGGGCCAUUACUGACGCUGAUGGACGAAAGCUAGGGGAGCGAAAGGG